UCUGAAGGCCAUACCAUCCUGAAUGGGAGUAAUCUCAUCUGAUCUUGGAAGCUACGUAGGGUCACGCCUGGUUAGUACUUGAAUGGAGACUGCUAGGCAUUACCAGGAGUUGUAGGCU
rnacentral:rRNA from 1 species